GGGGGGCCGACGAGCAACACUGUGAUCCCCUGUGUACGCGCUACAUGGAUUUUGUUUGUCAGAACCGAGCCCAGUGCCUUUUCCAGUCUCUGGUGUGUGACGGCACCAAACACUGCGAGGACGGAUCCGAUGAGGACGUGGCCUACGCCGGCUGCUCCACUCACCCUGAGUUUGA